UACAGAGACUGCAAGCGUUAUUCGGAUUCACUGGGCGUAAAGGGUGCGCAGGCGGUUGGGUGUGUCAGAUGUGAAAUCCCGAGGCUUAACCUCGGAACUGCGUCUGAAACUACUCGACUAGAGUACUGGAGAGGGAAACGGAAUUCACGGUGUAGCAGUGAAAUGCGUAGAUAUCGUGAGGAACACCAGAGGCGAAGGCGGUUUCCUGGACAGUUACUGACGCUCAGGCACGAAAGCAUGGGGGAG
rnacentral:rRNA from 1 species